rnacentral:rRNA from 2 species
UUGGGAAGUACGACCGCAAGGUUGAAACUCAAAGGAAUUGACGGGGGCCCGCACAAGCGGUGGAGCAUGUGGUUUAAUUCGAAGCUACGCGAAGAACCUUACCAGGUCUUGACAUCUUGCGCCAACCCUAGAGAUAGGGCGUUUCCUUCGGGAACGCAAUGACAGGUGGUGCAUGGUCGUCGUCAGCUCGUGUCGUGAGAUGUUGGGUUAAGUCCCGCAACGAGCGCAACCCUUGUUACUAGUUGCCAGCAUUAAGUUGGGCACUCUAGUGAGACUGCCGGUGACAAACCGGAGGAAGGUGGGGACGACGUCAGAUCAUCAUGCCCCUUAUGACCUGGGCUACACACGUGCUACAAUGGACGGUACAACGAGUCGCGAACUCGCGAGGGCAAGCAAAUCUCUUAAAACCGUUCUCAGUUCGGACUGCAGGCUGCAACUCGCCUGCACGAAGUCGGAAUCGCUAGUAAUCGCGGAUCAGCAUGCCGCGGUGAAUACGUUCCCGGGCCUUGUACACACCGCCCGUCACACCAUGAGAGUUUGUAACACCCAAAGUCGGUGGGGUAACCUUUUAGGAGCCAGCCGCCUAAGGUGACAAAAUAUUGG